UCCACACUGCCCGGCCCGUCGCCCCGCGGUGCUCUCCAUCUCCCACCCCGGCAGCACCCUCGGCUCUUUGGCGGGUCGUCGGGCAGCGCUCCUCAUUGAAUCGCCGCGCUACCUCCAUACCAAGUUCAGUCCAGAUGCCGGCAUGAUCCGCCGCCGGCGCCACCUCCUCGCGCGGAGGUGUGGGCCUGGAUGCCGCUGCUGCGCCACUCGCUGAGCUUGCUCCAUCCACCCUGCAGCUGUUGCCUCCCGAAGCAAAGCGAGUCUGGAGGAGCAAUGUUUGCCCGUCUCUCUUCAGGAGAAGUAUACAUCAUUUGACAGGAGUAUGAUCUAGGCUUGUGUGGAUGGAAAUUGGUACUGUUGGUAAGAAUAUACAAAAUUGUAAGCCACAUAUCCAACAAAAACAGCGGAUCAGCAAAUACCUUGAGUUAAAUUGGACAACUGUGAUUGUCUGUUGGAAUUAACCUGUCGAAAAGCAGUACGUCCAGGAUUGGUAUCUCCAGGAUCUAUUAACCACAUUGGUUAUGUAAUGUAAUCGAGGAAACUGAAACUGUAUAUAUGCGUAAGGUUUAUAUUGAUUAUAGGAACCUGAAUUUUCGUUUUGCGGCGGCCACAGCUUCUUGGACAUGAUUGACCUCGCCUGGAUCGGCUGCAUCGAGUUUUGCGUGCAGUUGGUUGGUGGUGUGCGCGGAGUUCCUUGUUAGGUGUGUGGUCUGGACCCGG